CCUACGGGAGGCUGCAGUGAGGAAUAUUGGUCAAUGGGCGCGAGCCUGAACCAGCCAAGUAGCGUGAAGGAUGACUGCCCUACGGGUUGUAAACUUCUUUUAUAAAGGGAUAAAGUGAGGCACGUGUGCCUUUUUGUAUGUACUUUAUGACUAAGGAUCGGCUAACUCCGUGCCAGCACCCGCGGUAAUACGGAGGCUCCGAGCGUUAUCCGGAUUUAUUGGGUUUAAAGGGAGCGUAGGUGGGUUGUUAAGUCAGUUGUGAAAGUUUGCGGCUCAACCGUAAAAUUGCAAUUGAUACUGGCAGUCUUGAGUACAGUUGAGGUAGGCGGAAUUCGUGGUGUAGCGGUGAAAUGCUUAGAUAUCACGAAGAACUCCGAUUGCGAAGGCAGCUGACUAACCUGCCACUGACAUUGAUGCUCGAAAGUGUGGGUAUCAAACAGGAUUAGAUACCCCUGUAGUC
rnacentral:rRNA from 1 species